rnacentral:lncRNA from 1 species
GUCCUAAUCGGAUUAGGACUUCGAAUUCAAAUUAGAGUCCUAAUUGGAUUAGGACUAGAAUUAAAUAAAUCCUAAUGGGAUUAGGACUUCUUAAGUCCCAAUUAAUUAUUAAUCUAAUGAAUCAAGAUGACUCCUAAUUAGAUUAGGAUUGAAGGGUUCAAUUGAGUCAUGGCUCAUCAAGUUCUAAUUGGAUUAGGACUUACCUAGAUUAAAACCCAAAUUGGUUCACCCUUGGUCCAAACCUAAUUAGAUUAGGACCUAACCAAGAGUGACCUUC